rnacentral:sRNA from 1 species
UCUGUUUGGAGAAGGGUAGACACUGGUCAGUGUCUCAACGAGUUAGGCAUCUGCGGGCUAACUGGGUUUAAUGUGAUCUAUACGGAUAACCUGCCUGCGUGUCAGGAUGCUGCUCCUAGCUCUCUGAAUGCCUCCUUCAAGAAAUGGACAGGCCCUAAUUGCUCCGGCUCCUUUUGACCUUCCAGACAAAAGAAGACCAGAUCCAAGUGAUAGGGAACCUCAAGAAUAUCUCGAUGGCAUCCAGCAAGCUGCUGUUAGCUGCCAAGUCUCUCUCUGUAGAUCCAGGAGCUCCCAAUGCGAAAAAUCUCCUGGCUGCAGCUGCAAGAGCUGUGACAGAGAGCAUCAAUCAACUCAUCACUCUGUGUACCCAACAAGCUCCGGGCCAGAAAGAGUGCGAUAAUGCCCUGCGGGAGCUCGAGACUGUGAAGGGGAUGUUGGACAAUCCUAAUGAACCUGUUAGUGACCUCUCUUACUUUGACUGCAUUGAGAGUGUGAUGGAAAACUCCAAGGUUCUGGGUGAAUCGAUGGCGGGGAUUUCACAGAAUGCCAAGACCGGAGACCUCCCUGCUUUUGGGGAAUGUGUGGGGAUUGCAUCCAAGGCUCUCUGUGGGCUGACAGAGGCCGCAGCCCAGGCUGCAUACUUGGUUGGCAUCUCUGAUCCAAACAGCCAGGCAGGCCACCAGGGCCUAGUGGACCCCAUCCAGUUUGCCAGGGCUAACCAGGCCAUCCAGAUGGCAUGCCAGAACUUGGUGGACCCUGGCAGCAGCCCAUCACAGGUAACUAUUGGGGAGGAUGUAAGAUUUCAAGCCCUUAAGCAGCUCCUCUAGGUAAGUUGUGGGAGACUAUGAGAAAUUAGUAAAGAAUCUUGUUCUUUCAGAGCUUGCAAAGGUAGCUAAAUGCCAGCAUUGUAGAUAAUGACUUAGGUGGGAGCAAAUAUUGCAAAAUAUGAUGAAUCUGGAAAUUUGUAAGUGCCUUGAAAUGGGGUGCCAGAAGGCAAAAGGAGUGAAGUAAUCACAGUGAGAUUGACAAGGAGUCUUCAUUCAUUUCAGGGGACGUGCAUUGAGGGCUUGUUCUGUGCUUAGCUGUAAGGGGUCAAUGUGCGCAGGGCUCCAUUUUCUACCCCUUGGCUCUUAAUGUGUUAGGCAAAGUUUGGAAAAUGCAAUGACCAGGGCACGAUGACAGUGCCAGGGAUGUGCAAAGGAAGGUGUGAUUAAUUCUCCAAGGGGGCUGUCAGGGCUCACUUCACAAAAGUGACGGCACUGAACCGGGCCUCAAAGUUGGGUAGAAUCUGCAGCACAGAAAGAAGCCAGAGUGACAUUUGAGGAAGAGCCAGUACAUGUGACAUUCCAUAACACCUCUCAUACCUGAGUGGCACGGGGUCCCAGUCACUUAUUAAAACAGUGUGUACUGCAAGGAAGGAGAAGUGGCUGGAAUGGGGGUGGCGGAGGCAGUCUUGUUAGUGGCAUGCCCACCAUCAACCUGGGGCCCACGUUCUUGAGGCAGGAGAAGGACCUGAACAAAGAAGGAAACACAAGGACCAUGUGGACCUAAAGCAGCCCCGAGAGCUGGUGUAUCUGGGAGUCCUUACCCAUCCAGCAAGGCCAAAGGGGUGUUACCAGCCUCAGCAAAGCAGAGCAGGUGGAUUCAGGAAAGCAAAUGAGUUGAGGCUGGCGGGGUGGAGCCUGUGGAACUUCCUGAGCCAGACACCUCGGUAGGUGCCAGCAGCCCUCCAUGGAUGAGGAGGGAGCUGUUGCACCUUGAUAUGUAUUUUUGUCAUCUGGAUCUGGGCUCUACAGUAUGGUGGCCACUGGCUACAUGUGGCUGUUAAGCACUUGAAAUGGAACUAGUCCAAACUGCGAUGGGUUGUAAAUACGCAGUGCACACUGAAUUUCAAAGACUUGGUAUGAUAAAAAGAUUGUAAAAUCUCAAUAUUUUUAAAUUGGUUAUAUGAUGAAAUAUUUUGGAUAUACCAAGUUAAAUAGAAGAAAUUAUUUCAUUAAUUUCUCUUGUUUCUCUACUUAUUUUAAAGUGACUACUAGAAAACUUAAAAUUGCGUAUGUGUAGACCUUGGUCUAGAUGCUAUACCCUGGACCUCCUAUCUGGGGUUCCAAAGGCUAACUGAUUACAUCUCCUUUAAGACUACCUGGGGCUCAGCCUAUCCCACCACUAUGUCAGCACCUCCUUUUUUCUUAUUCUUUCUUUAUUAUCUGUGCUUAAGAUUUCUUGCCCUCCUCUUUCUUGGAGUGACUUUAAGGGUGGCAGAACUAGACAUGCUUGUAAUUACACAGGCUCUGAACAUGUGAGUUGAACAGGAACCCAGGGCUGAGGACCAGGGUGGACCCCUCUGCACUGUAGCAUGGGGUACCCCCAACCUAGCUCCAUGCUUUGUAGGUCCUGUCAGCCGCCACAAUUGUUGCCAAGCACACGUCAGCCUUGUGCAAUGCCUGCCGCAUCGCCUCAUCCAAGACGGCCAACCCAGUAGCCAAGAGGCACUUCGUCCAGUCAGCCAAGGAAGUCGCCAACAGCACUGCCAACCUGGUGAAGACCAUCAAGGCCCUGGAUGGGGAUUUCUCUGAAGACAACCGCAGUAAGUGUCGCAUCGCCACCGCACCCUUGAUUGAAGCUGUGGAGAACCUGACAGCGUUCGCCUCAAACCCUGAGUUUGUCAGCAUUCCUGCCCAGAUCAGCUCCGAGGGUUCCCAGGCACAGGAACCAAUCCUGGUCUCAGCCAAGACCAUGCUGGAGAGUUCAUCGUACCUCAUUCGCACUGCACGCUCUCUGGCCAUCAACCCCAAAGACCCACCCACCUGGUCUGUACUGGCUGGACAUUCCCAUACAGUGUCCGACUCCAUCAAGAGUCUCAUCACUUCUAUCAGGGACAAGGCCCCUGGACAGAGGGAGUGUGAUUACUCCAUCGAUGGCAUCAACCGGUGCAUCCGGGACAUCGAGCAGGCCUCGCUGGCCGCCGUCAGCCAGAGCCUGGCCACGAGGGACGACAUCUCUGUGGAGGCCCUGCAGGAGCAGCUGACUUCGGUGGUCCAGGAAAUCGGACACCUUAUCGAUCCCAUCGCCACAGCGGCUCGGGGAGAAGCAGCUCAGCUGGGACAUAAGGUGACACAACUGGCAAGCUAUUUUGAGCCCUUGAUCUUAGCCGCAGUUGGUGUGGCCUCCAAGAUUCUUGAUCAUCAGCAGCAGAUGACGGUGCUGGACCAGACCAAGACUCUCGCAGAGUCUGCCUUGCAGAUGUUGUAUGCAGCCAAAGAAGGUGGCGGAAACCCCAAGGCACAACACACCCAUGACGCCAUCACAGAGGCCGCCCAGUUGAUGAAGGAAGCCGUGGACGACAUCAUGGUGACGCUGAACGAAGCUGCCAGUGAAGUGGGGCUGGUUGGGGGCAUGGUGGACGCCAUUGCAGAAGCCAUGAGCAAGCUGGAUGAAGGCACUCCUCCAGAACCAAAGGGAACAUUUGUCGACUAUCAGACGACUGUGGUUAAAUACUCCAAAGCCAUUGCGGUGACAGCUCAGGAAAUGAUGACUAAGUCGGUUACUAACCCGGAGGAGUUGGGAGGACUGGCUUCACAAAUGACCAGUGACUAUGGGCACCUGGCUUUCCAGGGCCAGAUGGCAGCAGCCACGGCGGAACCAGAGGAGAUCGGAUUCCAGAUUCGCACUCGUGUGCAGGACCUGGGCCACGGCUGUAUCUUCCUGGUGCAGAAGGCAGGGGCCCUCCAGGUCUGCCCCACAGACAGCUACACCAAGAGGGAGCUGAUUGAAUGCGCCCGUGCCGUCACGGAAAAGGUCUCCUUGGUGCUCUCGGCUCUCCAGGCCGGGAACAAAGGAACCCAGGCAUGCAUUACAGCCGCCACCGCUGUGUCUGGGAUCAUUGCCGACCUGGACACCACCAUUAUGUUUGCAACAGCAGGGACGCUGAAUGCAGAGAACAGUGAGACCUUCGCAGACCACAGGGAGAACAUUCUCAAGACGGCCAAGGCCUUGGUAGAAGACACGAAACUACUUGUGUCAGGAGCUGCGUCCACUCCUGACAAGCUGGCCCAGGCGGCCCAGUCCUCAGCAGCCACCAUCACCCAGCUCGCAGAGGUGGUCAAGCUGGGGGCAGCCAGCCUGGGCUCCGACGACCCCGAGACCCAGGUGGUUUUGAUCAACGCCAUCAAAGAUGUGGCCAAGGCCCUUUCCGAUCUCAUCAGUGCUACCAAGGGAGCUGCCAGCAAGCCAGCGGACGACCCUUCCAUGUACCAGCUCAAGGGGGCCGCCAAGGUGAUGGUGACCAAUGUCACCUCGCUCCUCAAGACUGUAAAGGCAGUGGAGGAUGAGGCCACCCGGGGCACCAGGGCGCUUGAGGCCACAAUUGAAUGCAUAAAGCAGGAGCUUACGGUGUUCCAGUCAAAAGACGUACCUGAAAAGACAUCAUCACCUGAAGAAUCCAUAAGGAUGACGAAAGGCAUCACCAUGGCAACAGCCAAAGCCGUGGCAGCUGGGAACUCAUGUAGACAGGAGGACGUGAUUGCUACUGCCAACCUGAGCCGGAAGGCCGUGUCAGAUAUGUUGACGGCUUGCAAGCAAGCAUCCUUCCACCCCGAUGUCAGUGACGAGGUGAGAACCAGAGCCUUGCGUUUCGGGACAGAGUGCACCCUCGGCUACUUGGACCUCCUGGAGCACGUCUUGGUGAUUCUUCAGAAACCAACCCCAGAACUCAAGCAGCAGCUGGCCGCUUUCUCCAAGCGAGUCGCCGGCGCUGUGACAGAGCUCAUCCAGGCGGCGGAAGCCAUGAAAGGAACAGAGUGGGUGGAUCCAGAAGACCCAACUGUCGUUGCAGAAACAGAGUUACUGGGGGCUGCAGCAUCCAUCGAAGCUGCUGCUAAGAAGUUAGAGCAACUGAAGCCAAGAGCAAAACCAAAACAAGCGGAUGAGACCCUGGACUUUGAGGAACAGAUCUUGGAAGCUGCUAAAUCCAUUGCUGCUGCCACAAGCGCCCUGGUCAAAUCGGCCUCAGCAGCCCAGAGGGAGCUGGUGGCCCAAGGAAAGGUGGGCUCCAUCCCUGCCAAUGCUGCAGACGACGGACAGUGGUCACAGGGGCUGAUUUCUGCUGCCCGGAUGGUGGCGGCUGCGACCAGCAGUCUCUGUGAGGCGGCCAAUGCCUCCGUUCAGGGACACGCCAGCGAGGAGAAGCUCAUCUCAUCUGCCAAGCAGGUCGCCGCUUCCACGGCUCAGCUGCUGGUGGCCUGCAAGGUGAAGGCCGACCAGGAUUCAGAGGCCAUGAGGCGGCUACAGGCGGCAGGAAAUGCUGUGAAAAGAGCCUCAGACAAUCUUGUCCGUGCAGCCCAGAAGGCAGCAUUUGGCAAAGCUGAUGACGACGAUGUUGUAGUGAAAACCAAGUUUGUGGGGGGCAUUGCUCAGAUCAUCGCCGCCCAGGAAGAAAUGCUAAAGAAAGAGCGAGAACUGGAAGAAGCAAGGAAAAAACUGGCCCAAAUCCGCCAGCAGCAGUAUAAGUUUUUACCCACCGAGCUGAGGGAAGAUGAGGGCUAAAGGUGCGAGCCCAGAUGGCGAGCCCCAGGGGAUGGCCCUGGCUGAACUGGACAGACAGUGUUCCUGAGAGGCUGGGCACUUAGCUGGAAACCGCCCACCUCCCCCCCGGGUGAGCCUGGAGCCCUGCGUGCUUGUUCUCACAUCUCUGUCCCAUCGGCACUGGCUGCAUGAUCGUGAUGUCACACGGUACAAUGUCCUACCCACAACUCCUCUGCCGCCUCCCCUCAUGCCUCACCGUGUCUCAGGAGAGAGGGGUGCACGUUUCAUGGACUGUUACCAACAAAGAAAAGUCAGUAUUAUGUUGUUCUCAGACACUUUGGCUUUUGUUGGUCCUUCUCUUAGGCCUGCUCCUGGACCUCUUUAUGAUAUUGUAAUAGGGAAAAAAAUCAUUGACGUCAUAGAAUAUUCUUCUUCCUCUCAGGAGAAGACGGAAGCUGGAGUUGGACAUGGUUCAUAAAAGCCAGAAACACAAACCCGUGUGGACUCCGGGAGGGUGACUCAGGUCCUCCUUCCAUGUCUUGAGCACUGGCUCACCCAGGGGGUGAAAAAUUCCCGCCCCUGUUUGCACGCUUUCUUGUCUCCGUGUGUAAGCUCCUUGUACAACCCAGACCCAUCUUGUAUUUUGUGGCCCAGAAAACUGAACAAUGAUUUUUUUCCUCCAUAGUCCAAAGGGCAGAGUUGCGGAAGGCCGUCAGGGCUUGGUGAGCAGGGGCUGUAAUAAAAUCUGUGGGCUCCUUACUCUGCAGAGGCUGUUUCAGUUCACACAGAGUCAUCCACACAAACCCACGGCUCCCAGUUGACAGUCAGUGGAAUGCUCGUCUCCUUAGCGUCCAGGGUGGGGAUUCUGCUGGAAUAAAGAGCUUCCUCAGUGACUCA